AAGGCUGAACCAGGGAGCCAUGGAGUGU
rnacentral:piRNA from 1 species